rnacentral:rRNA from 1 species
AGUGAACGCUGGCGGUAGGCCUAACACAUGCAAGUCGAACGGCAGCACAGUAAGAGCUUGCUCUUACUGGUGGCGAGUGACGGACGGGUGAGGAAUACAUCGGAAUCUACUUUUUCGUGGGGGAUAACGUAGGGAAACUUACGCUAAUACCGCAUACUACCUACGGGUGAAAGCAGGGGAUCUUCGGACCUUGCGCGAUUGAAUGAGCCGAUGUCGGAUUAGCUAGUUGGCUGGGUAAAGGCCCACCAAGGCGACGAUCCGUAGCUGGUCUGAGAGGAUGAUCAGCCACACUGGAACUGAGACACGGUCCAGACUCCUACGGGAGGCAGCAGUGGGGAAUAUUGGACAAUGGGCGCAAGCCUGAUCCAGCCAUACCGCGUGGGUGAAGAAGGCCUUCGGGUUGUAAAGCCCUUUUGUUGGGAAAGAAAAGCAGCAGGUUAAUACCCCGCUGUUCUGACGGUACCCAAAGAAUAAGCACCGGCUAACUUCGUG